AGUGAACGCUGGCGGUAGGCCUAACACAUGCAAGUCGAACGGCAGCACAGUAAGAGCUUGCUCUUACGGGUGGCGAGUGGCGGACGGGUGAGGAAUACAUCGGAAUCUACUUUUUCGUGGGGGAUAACGUAGGGAAACUUACGCUAAUACCGCAUACGACCUACGGGUGAAAGCAGGGGAUCUUCGGACCUUGCGCGAUUGAAUGAGCCGAUGUCGGAUUAGCUAGUUGGCGGGGUAAAGGCCCACCAAGGCGACGAUCCGUAGCUGGUCUGAGAGGAUGAUCAGCCACACGGGAACUGAGACACGGUCCAGACUCCUACGGGAGGAAGCAGUGGGGAAUAUUGGACAAUGGGCGCAAGCCUGAUCCAGCCAUACCGCGUGGGUGAAGAAGGCCUUCGGGUUGUAAAGCCCUUUUGUUGGGAAAGAAAAGCAGCAGGUUAAUACCCCGCUGUUCUGACGGUACCCAAAGAAUAAGCACCGGCGAACUUCGU
rnacentral:rRNA from 1 species